GAAAAUUUAUGCUUUUUUAACUGAUAAAUGAGCUUGAACCUCUCUUGAGACCCUGCUGUAAAGUGGGAGCCUUUUGCACUAGAUACGACCUUUUCACGCAUACAUUUAUUCUUCAAAUGGAAUUGUUGGGAAUGAAUAUCUAUCAGAUUAUUGUAUGCUAGUAUACUUACCAUUAACACAAAUAAAUCAUUUAAUAUUUUCUCUGCUGAUUUCCACUUUCUGACUAGUCCAACUCUUUUGUGAUGAUACAGGUUGUAUUUCCAAGCUUUGGUGAGAGGUAUAUUUCCACUGUUCUUUUUCAGUCUAUUCAUGAUGAAGUCAGAGAAAUGCAACAAAGAUAGUGUUCAACUUUGCUCACUUUUUUCAUUUAAAAGGCACAUUAAUCCAGAGAUAGCUUUCGAUGGAAUGAGAAAGACUGUUGUUUGAUCAAAGUGUUGAUGAGAAUGUUGUUCAAGUUCUGGUUGCCAAUGAGCUGCUUUUACCAUGCGCUUUCGUUCAUUGUGUGGCAAAGAAUUAGACAUAAAGAGGUGAAGAGUCGGCUUUCAACAACGGAGUCGAUCUAGCAGAAAGUUGUAUAUUAUGCUAAUAGUGAUACAUUUGCAAAGAGUUUGAAUCCAUACUCUUAUUGAUGAAUUAGAAGAUUUUGACAUCAUUUGUUUCAAUGGAAAUUACUUCCGGGUGGAGAACUCGAAUUCUCAGUUUAAGGGAAAAUUUUCUGGUAGGAAGAGGAAAAAUUUGCAAAAAAUUCUGAUAUUUUCACAUUGUUUUUAGUUGCUGCUUCAAUUAUUAUUUUUGCCAUA